GACGAACCGUGCAAACGUUAUUCGGAAUCACUGGGCAUAAAGGGCGCGUAGGCGGCGACUCUAGUCAGAUGUGAAAGUCCUGGGCUUAACCUGGGGACUGCAUUUGAUACUGGGUUGCUUGAAUUCGGGAGAGGAUAGCGGAAUUCCCAGUGUAGAGGUGAAAUUCGUAGAUAUUGGGAAGAGCACCGGUGGCGAAGGCGGCUAUCUGGACCGACAUUGACGCUGAGGCGCGAAAGCGUGGGGAGCAAACAGG
rnacentral:rRNA from 1 species